GAUGAACGCUAGCUACAGGCUUAACACAUGCAAGUCGCGGGGCAGCAUGACAUCAGCUUGCUGAUGUUGAUGGCGACCGGCGCACGGGUGAGUAACGCGUAUCCAACCUGCCCUUUACUAUGGGACAGCCCGUCGAAAGGCGGAUUAAUACCGUAUGUUGUCAUGUUGAUGCAUAUUUUCAUGACCAAAGGCUUCGGCCGGUAAAGGAUGGGGAUGCGUCUGAUUAGCUUGCCGGCGGGGUAACGGCCCACCGGGGCGACGAUCAGUAGGGGUUCUGAGAGGAAGGUCCCCCACACUGGUACUGAGACACGGACCAG
rnacentral:rRNA from 1 species